rnacentral:rRNA from 1 species
AAAGGCGCGCGAUACAGGGUGACAGCCCCGUACACAAAAAUGCACAUACUGUGAGCUCGAUGAGUAGGGCGGGACACGUGGUAUCCUGUCUGAAUAUGGGGGGACCAUCCUCCAAGGCUAAAUACUCCUGACUGACCGAUAGUGAACCAGUACCGUGAGGGAAAGGCGAAAAGAACCCCGGCGAGGGGAGUGAAAAAGAACCUGAAACCGUGUACGUACAAGCAGUGGGAGCCUCUUUUAUGGGGUGACUGCGUACCUUUUGUAUAAUGGGUCAGCGACUUAUAUUCUGUAGCAAGGUUAACCGAAUAGGGGAGCCGAAGGGAAACCGAGUCUUAACCGGGCGUUAAGUUGCAGGGUAUAGACCCGAAACCCGGUGAUCUAGCCAUGGGCAGGUUGAAGGUUGGGUAACACUAACUGGAGGACCGAACCGACUAAUGUUGAAAAAUUAGCGGAUGACUUGUGGCUGGGGGUGAAAGGCCAAUCAAACCGGGAGAUAGCUGGUUCUCCCCGAAAGCUAUUUAGGUAGCGCCUCGUGAAUUCAUCUCCGGGGGUAGAGCACUGUUUCGGCAAGGGGGUCAUCCCGACUUACCAACCCGAUGCAAACUGCGAAUACCGGAGAAUGUUAUCACGGGAGACACACGGCGGGUGCUAACGUCCGUCGUGAAGAGGGAAACAACCCAGACCGCCAGCUAAGGUCCCAAAGUCAUGGUUAAGUGGGAAACGAUGUGGGAAGGCCCAGACAGCCAGGAUGUUGGCUUAGAAGCAGCCAUCAUUUAAAGAAAGCGUAAUAGCUCACUGGUCGAGUCGGCCUGCGCGGAAGAUGUAACGGGGCUAAACCAUGCACCGAAGCUGCGGCAGCGACACUGUGUGUUGUUGGGUAGGGGAGCGU